AGCUCCAAUAGCGUAUAUUAAAGUUGUUGCAGUUAAAAAGCUCGUAGUUGAAUUUUGGGCUCGGCUGUUGUGGUCGGCCGCAUAGGUCUGUACCCUUCUGGCCGGGUCUUUCCUUCUGGAAAACCAUCAUGCCAUUAAUUUGGUGUGGUGGCGAUCCAGGACUUUUACCUUGAAAAAAUUAGAGUGUUUAAAGCAGGCAAUCUCGCUUGAAUACAUUAGCAUGGAAUAAUAGAAUAGGACUUUGGUUCUAUUUUGUUGGUUUCUAGGACCGAAGUAAUGAUUAAUAGGGAUAGUUGGGGGCAUUAGUAUUUCAUUGUCAGAGGUGAAAUUCUUGGAUUUAUGAAAGACUAACUUCUGCGAAAGCAUUUGCCAAGGAUGUUUUCA
rnacentral:rRNA from 1 species